rnacentral:rRNA from 1 species
CAUUCGAGUGGCGGACGGGUGAGUAACGCGUGGGUAACCUGCCUUACACUGGGGGAUAACACCUGGAAACAGGUGCUAAUACCGCAUAAGCGCACAGGGCCGCAUGGCCCGGUGUGAAAAACUCCGGUGGUGUAAGAUGGACCCGCGUCUGAUUAGCUUGUUGGCGGGGUAGGGGCCCACCAAGGCGACGAUCAGUAGCCGGCCUGAGAGGGUGGACGGCCACAUUGGGACUGAGACACGGCCCAAACUCCUACGGGAGGCAGCAG